CCUCGCAUCGGCAAAGCAGGAAGCCAUUUGUUUGAAAAAGGUUUUGAUGCAAGAAGGUUGACAGGAUCAGAGCGUUUCCUUGUAAAAAUAUACAUACUCCGCUUUCCAAACCAGGCAUUAAGCUUCUGUGCAUAAUUGUAACUUUUGUCUGGCAGCGUACAAAAGGCGUCAAAUAGGCGGGGGCGGCAAUGUCAAGUCCGUCAUUCCAGAAAGGUGGCUGAAAAGACUGAGAAGGUUCUGAAGUGAGACCGGAGAAGAGGCGACCAAACAGUGGUCAUCGGACGUUGGAAAGGUCGACGUUCAUGCCAUCAGGUUGGAGACUACCAAGGCGGAAUAUUAGGUGACUUCUAACUUCAGAUGUUGCCUGACCCGCUGAGUCUCUGCAGCUUUUCGUGCGCUGCUAAAAGAUCCAGGGCAGGACUUUUUGUCGGGGAGGUUACUCCGGGAACCACAGAGGGCAAGUAGAGUUGGGAUACACCCAGCUGGGAAUGGGCGACACGCUCGAGGGUUUGAACACGUUGCGUCUCCCUCACCUUGGCAGGAUCACGCUGCAUAAAAACUGGUUCUGACUAGUUGCAGUAUGGAGGCUCCAAUGCGCAGGAUCGUAAGAGGCUGCAGAGGGUUGUAGACUCAGCCAGCUCCAUCACGGGCACACCCCUCCCCGCCAUCGAGGACAUCUUCAAGAGGCGGUGCCUCAGGAAGGUGGCAUCCAUCACAAAGGGUCCUCACCAUCCGGGAAGUGCCCUCCUCUUGUUACUCUAUUGAGGAGGAGGUACAGGAGCCUGAAGACCCACACUCAAUGUUUCAGGAACAGCUUCUUCCCCUGCGCCGUCAGACUUCUGAAUGGUUCAUGAACCCAUGAACACUGCCUCAUUAUUCCUCUUUUGCACUAUUUAUUUAUUUUUGUAAGUUAUAUUCACUUUAUGUCUCUGCAUUAUACUGCUGCCACAAAACAACAAAUUUCAUGUCAUAUGAGUCAGUGAUAAUAAAUCUGGUUCUGGUUCUGAA